AUUGAACGCUGGCGGCAGGCCUAACACAUGCAAGUCGAGCGAGCGGCGGACGGGUGAGUAAUGUAUGGGGACUGCCCGAUAGAGGGGGAUAACUACUGGAAACGGUGGCUAAUACCGCAUACUAUCGGAUAACCCAUAUGGGAUUAGCUAGUGGGUGGGGUAAAGGCUCACCUAGGCGACGAUCUCUAGCUGGUCUGAGAGGAUGAUCAGCCAAAUGGGAACUGAGACACGGCCCAGACUCCUCCGGAGGCAGCAGUGGGGAAUAUUGCACAAUGGGCGCAGGCCUGAUACAGCCAUGCCGCGUGUAUGAAGAAGGCCUUAGGGUUUUAAAGUACUUUCAGCGGGGAGGCGUUACCCGCAGAAGAAGCACCGGCUAACUCCGUGCCAGCGGCCGCGGUAAUUC
rnacentral:rRNA from 1 species